CGUCACCUACCUCCAAGCCGGCUGUUCCCAAAUUAGAACAGAAGCAACGCGAACAGAGUAGGGCUUCGGGCCUCCGGCGGCGGACCUAUGACGCCGGGCGAACGCGGUCGCCGCGGUGCUGACAUACUGGGCUUCGAUGUCCGGCGGGCAACUCGCCCCAUCCCCGCCCCGCCAUUCUCCACCUCACCCCCUUCCCCACCCGAUCUAGCGCCUACCUGCGCCAUCCGCCGACGCUGGAGAAUAGAACUCCGGUGUUCAGGGACUGAUGGAGUCAAUGUCAAGUAUGGCUCCGAGUGCCGGAUCGACUACAGCGAUGGGACUUGAAGAUGAUGCUUACUUUUAUGGCCUGUGUGCCAAGUGUGUUUCCUUGCUUCAGAACAACAUGGAACAAUUAUCUACCUUCGUGCUUAUAUUAUGCAAAACUAGAAGUGCUCUGUUUGAAUGUGACACUGUGUAACUAUGUGUUACUGGGCAUGUCCACUAAUUCCUUUAUGAAUUGGAACCUGGACCUAUUUAUUUGCUAUCAGUGAGGUUCCAUCAUAAUGCUUGUUAUGCUAAAAUUAUUUGAUACAAUUAGUUUAUCA